GACGAACGCUGGCGGCGUGCUUAACACAUGCAAGUCGAACGGAAAGGCCCUGCUUUUGUGGGGUGCUCGAGUGGCGAACGGGUGAGUAACACGUGAGUAACCUGCCCUUGACUUUGGGAUAACUUCAGGAAACUGGGGCUAAUACCGGAUAGGAGCUCCUGCUGCAUGGUGGGGGUUGGAAAGUUUCGGCGGUUGGGGAUGGACUCGCGGCUUAUCAGCUUGUUGGUGGGGUAGUGGCUUACCAAGGCUUUGACGGGUAGCCGGCCUGAGAGGGUGACCGGCCACAGUGGGACUGAGAUACGGCCCAGACUCCUACGGGAGGCAGCAGUGGGGAAUAUUGCACAAUGGGCGGAAGCCUGAUGCAGCAACGCCGCGUGCGGGAUGAAGGCCUUCGGGUUGUAAACCGCUUUCGCCUGUGACGAAGCGUGAGUGACGGUAAUGGGUAAAGAAGCACCGGCUAACUACG
rnacentral:rRNA from 1 species